GACGAACGCUGGCGGCGUGCUUAACACAUGCAAGUCGAGCGAGGCCCUCCUUCGGGAGGUGUCCUAGCGGCGAACGGGUGAGUAACACGUGGGCAACCUGCCCUCAGCUCUGGGAUAACUCCAAGAAAUUGGGGCUAAUACCGGAUAUGACCGCUGACCGCAUGGUCUGGUGGUGGAAGGAUUUAUCGGCUGGGGAUGGGACCGCGGCCUAUCAGCUUGUUGGUGGGGUAGUGGCCUACCAAGGCGACGACGGGUAGCCGGCCUGGGAGGGUGGCGGGCCACACGGGGACUGGGAGGCGGCACAGACGACUACGGGAGGCAGCAGUGGGGAAUGGUGCGCAGUGGGCGGGGGGCUGACGCGGCGAAGCCGCGUGGGGGAUGACGGCCUUCGGGUUGUAAUCCUCUUUCAGCAGGGACGAAGCGAAAGUGACGGUACCUGCAGAAGAAGCACUGGCCAACUACGUGCCAGCAGCCGCGGUAACAC
rnacentral:rRNA from 1 species